GAUGAACGCUGGCGGCGUGCCUAAUACAUGCAAGUCGAGCGAAUGGAUUAAGAGCUUGCUCUUAUGAAGUUAGCGGCGGACGGGUGAGUAACACGUGGGUAACCUGCCCAUAAGACUGGGAUAACUCCGGGAAACCGGGGCUAAUACCGGAUAAUAUUUUGAACUGCAUGGUUAAAAAUUGAAAGGCGGCUUCGGCUGUCACUUAUGGAUGGACCCGCGUCGCAUUAGCUAGUUGGUGAGGUAACGGCUCACCAAGGCAACGAUGCGUAGCCGACCUGAGAGGGUGAUCGGCCACACUGGGACUGAGACACGGCCCAGACUCCUACGGGAGGCAGCAGUAGGGAAUCUUCCGCAAUGGACGAAAGUCUGACGGAGCAACGCCACGUGAGUGAUGAAGGCUUUCGGGUCGUAAAACUCUGUUGUUAGGGAAGAACAAGUGCUAGUUGAAUAAGCUGGCACCUUGACGGUACCUAACCAGAAAGCCACGGCUAACUACGUGCCAGCCGCCGCGGUAA
rnacentral:rRNA from 1 species